UCAUGUCGCGGAGGGUCUGUUGCCUUUAUUGUGUGGAGAAAUCCACAAUGUUUGCAGUACCGAAGGCAGAACCACGACGAAGUCAGUGGUUGACAUUCCUUUGUAACACUGUUCCAGCUGAUUUACCAGCCGGUACUGUUGUGUGUGCGCGGCAUUUCACGGACCAAAGCUUUAAAAACUUAACAAUGUUUAGCUUCGGACUUGCAAAGCUGAUAUUGGAGGACGAUGCUGUUCCUACUUUGUUUGGACCAGCGGGAGAUUCGGGUACACAACCUAGUACAUCACAGCAGGAACACAAUACCCACCGCUCCAGUACAGUCGGAUGUCAAACAGACCGUCCACAGACUGUUUGUGUGGGAACUCAGAGGGUUGAGACACGGUCUGUGGGAACACAGACAGUGGAAUCUAAAGUGUCCGCCAUUUCUGUUGCUACACAGUUGGCCCGGGGAACACUGAAAUCGGCACACGUGAGAAGCAAAGGCAUCCAGCCCACGGUGUCUUUCAAAAGUGUUGGCACUAAAACUUCCACCUACACAGAAAUCCCCUUGUCCUCCACACCAAUAAAGGGCCCAGGAUUGGGACCUCGCAAGAGAUACAAGAUACAAUGAACAAUAAAAGUAUUACAUUAAAUACAAAAGUGAAUAACAAUAACAAAUUAUUUAUACAAUGCUUUCUUUUUCAGUCUAUGUGGAUGAGCUGACGAGGCUUGUGUUUCACAAAGUCUUUCUGGACCCUACACCCUUUGUGGACGAGCUGAAACGAAUCCACGUCCCAGAGGACCUGUCAACUCAAUUUGACAGGCCCCCCAAGGAGGAAAUGAUUGUCAGCCGUUUCUCCCGUUUCCCCCCAAAGGAGGUCGAAAUCCUACAUAUUGUCCAGCCAGAUCUGGAAACUCCUGGCGGAUCCGGAGCACAACACACGACGGAAUCACCACUCUGAUGCCUCGCCCUAAAUAUCCCCAGCACCAGCUUACAAAGCUGCGAUACGCAAGAUAUCGAAAACGCCUAUCAGGAGAGGAAUGGAUGAUGUACAGUGUAUAAAUAUACAUUCACACAUUUUGUACAUUUGUAAAAAUAAAGUUUGAUGGAAAUACUUAGUAGCCUUUCUUUCCUGAAUUAUUUGCUCCUAUAACAUAUCAUUCAUAAAUAGCAAAUCAUGAUUUUAUUUUUCAUCAAACGGUAGUAGUUUAUUACAGGUAACAAUAACUUACUCUUCUUCCGUUGUAUUUGUCAAAGGUCCGAAACUGUAUUUAUAAAUAUUGUGGAGAUUCUGCAGGGUGUAUGGGUUCAAGCAGUUAGGCUCU